rnacentral:rRNA from 1 species
GAUGAACGCUGGCGGCGUGCCUAAUACAUGCAAGUCGAGCGAACGGACGAGAAGCUUGCUUCUCUGAUGUUAGCGGCGGACGGGUGAGUAACACGUGGAUAACCUACCUAUAAGACUGGGAUAACUUCGUGAAACCGGAGCUAAUACCGGAUAAUAUUUUGAACCGCAUGGUUCAAAAGUGAAAGACGGUCUUGCUGUCACUUAUAGAUGGAUCCGCGCUGCAUUAGCUAGUUGGUAAGGUAACGGCUUACCAAGGCAACGAUGCAUAGCCGACCUGAGAGGGUGAUCGGCCACACUGGAACUGAGACACGGUACAGACUCCUACGGGAGGCAGCAGUAGGGAAUCUUCCGCAAUGGGCGAAAGCCUGACGGAGCAACGCCGCGUGAGUGAUGAAGGUCUUCGGAUCGUAAAACUCUGUUAUUAGGGAAGAACAUAUGUGUAAGUAACUGUGCACAUCUUGACGGUACCUAAUCAGAAAGCCACGGCUAACUACGUG